rnacentral:rRNA from 1 species
GAUGAACGCUGGCGGCGUGCUUAACACAUGCAAGUCGAACGAUGAAGCCCAGCUUGCUGGGUGGAUUAGUGGCGAACGGGUGAGUAACACGUGAGUAACCUGCCCUUGACUCUGGGAUAAGCCUGGGAAACUGGGUCUAAUACUGGAUAUGACUUCUCAUCGCAUGGUGGGGGGUGGAAAGAUUUAUUGGUCUUGGAUGGACUCGCGGCCUAUCAGCUUGUUGGUGAGGUAAUGGCUCACCAAGGCGACGACGGGUAGCCGGCCUGAGAGGGUGACCGGCCCCACGGGGACGGGGACAGGGCCAAGGCCCAAACGGGGGGAAAGGGGGGGAAAUAUGGCAAAAGGGGCGCAGGCCUGGUGCAGGGACGCCGGGGGGGGGAGGGCGGCUUUGGGGUUGAAAACCUUUUUGGGUAGGAAAGAAGGGGGGGGGAGGGAACCUGAAAAAGAAGCCCCGGUAAACUAGUG